AGUGAACGCUGGCGGUAGGCCUAACACAUGCAAGUCGAACGGCAGCACAGUAAGAGCUUGCUCUUACGGGUGGCGAGUGGCGGACGGGUGAGGAAUACAUCGGAAUCUACUUUUUCGUGGGGGAUAACGUAGGAAAACUUACGCUAAUACCGCAUACGACCUACGGGUGAAAGCAGGGGAUCUUCGGACCUUGCGCGAUUGAAUGAGCCGAUGUCGGAUUAGCUAGUUGGCGGGGUAAAGGCCCACCAAGGCGACGAUCCGUAGCUGGUCUGAGAGGAUGAUCAGCCACACUGGAACUGAGACACGGUCCAGACUCCUACGGGAGGCAGCAGUGGGGAAUAUUGGACAAUGGGCGCAAGCCUGAUCCAGCCAUACCGCGUGGGUGAAGAAGGCCUUCGGGUUGUAAAGCCCUUUUGUUGGGAAAGAAAAGCAGCAGGUUAAUACCCCGCUGUUCUGACGGUACCCAAAGAAUAAGCACUGGCUAACUUCGUG
rnacentral:rRNA from 1 species